rnacentral:rRNA from 1 species
AUUGAACGCUGGCGGCAUGCCUUACACAUGCAAGUCGAACGGUAACGGGCCUUCGGGUGCCGACGAGUGGCGAACGGGUGAGUAAUGUAUCGGAACGUACCUUUCAGUGGGGGAUAACGUAGCGAAAGUUACGAUAAUACCGCAUAUUCUGUGAGCAGGAAAGCAGGGGAUCGCAAGACCUUGCGCUUAUUGAGCGCCCGAUAUCAGAUUAGCUAGUUGGUGAGGUAAAGGAUAAACAAGGCGACGAUCUGUAGCGGGUCUGAGAGGAUGAUCCGCCACACUGGAACUGAGACACGGUCCAGACUCCUACGGGAGGCAGCAGUGGGGAAUUUUGGACAAUGGGGGCAACCCUGAUCCAGCCAUGCCGCGUGAGUGAAGAAGGCCUUCGGGUUGUAAAGCUCUUUCGGCCGGGAAGAAAUCGUAUCAGCUAAUACCUGGUGCGGAUGACGGUACCGGCAUAAGAAGCACCGGCUAACUACGUGCCAGCCGCCGCGGUAAAAC